rnacentral:rRNA from 1 species
UGGGGAAUAUUGGACAAUGGGCGAAAGCCUGAUCCAGCAAUGCCGCGUGAGUGAUGAAGGCCUUAGGGUUGUAAAGCUCUUUUACCCGGGAUGAUAAUGACAGUACCGGGAGAAUAAGCCCCGGCUAACUCUGUGCCAGCAGCCGCGGUAAUACAGAGGGGGCAAGCGUUAUUCGGAAUUAUUGGGCGUAAAGGGCGCGUAGGCGGCUUUUCAAGUGACGGGUGAAAUCCCUCGGCUUAACCGAGGAACUGCCUGUCAGACUGGAAGGCUUGAGACCGGGAGAGGUGAGUGGAAUUCCCAGUGUAGCGGUGAAAUGCGUAGAUAUUGGGAGGAACACCAGUGGCGAAGGCGGCUCACUGGACCGGAACUGACGCUGAGGCGCGAAAGCGUGGGGAGCAAA